CGGAAGUCGUCCACCUCGGGGUCAGCCAAGGAGUCAAACUCAUGCAAACCUGAAGAGAGAAACAGGACGACCUUCUAAAAAAAAAUGGCAGGGAGAAGUUGGUCCGUCUACCUACCGCGCCGGAUCUUCUCCCUCGACAAGGUGGGCUGAAUCCUUGAAAGGAUGGAACAGGAUGCAUUCAGGGAUGGGCUGCUGUGGGUUCGCGAGAACCUCUAGCUAAGAUUCUGUGCAGUUCGGACAGCCUCCAAAUCCCACUCUUGGCUGGCCCCGUCCACUCCGCCCCUCCAAAGAGUCCCCAUGCUGCCCGUUUUGGAUUCAAGGGGAGAGAGACCCCAGCCACCCUAGCCAAAAAUCAUCCCAGCCCUCAAGACUGAUCUUCACAAACAUCCGUCUCCCCACCACCACCAAAACCGCGGAAGUGAAGCUGAGCCGGCCCGGAUGUGGAUCAAACGGAGAUGCACCCGGUAGCUGCCUAAGAAGACGUGAGGAAGAGGAGGGAGGAAGAGGAAAAAAGCCGAGAUGGGAAGAGCGAAGAUGAAGCGGCGUGGGAGAAAUUCGAAGGCGUUUCAGGCACUUGGAACCCCGCCCGCCCGCCCGCCAAAGUCACUG